rnacentral:lncRNA from 10 species
GGGAGUACUGCCAGACAACUAUCGAUGUUCCCUUAAGGCCCAACAUCUCUUCAAUCAGCUUGUGGUGAAUGCUGCCUGGCCUGGAACUCACCCUGCAGGCUCCCUGCAACUGCAUGUCACAGUGGCUUCAUUCUGGGCUCUGGAGCCAAACAUGUCAGUUCCAGUCUGCCUCAGACAUUUUCUGCCUAUGGGACCCCCUCAAUAGGGUCAAAGGAACAGGAUUCAUCACUCGGUGUUUGAUGUGAAGUCCCUUCAGCUCUCCAAGCCCCAGUGUCCUCGUGAAUCAAGCGGAGAUCAUCUUAAAGCCCUCAACAGGGACAAGUGUGAAGGAACCAGUAAGAGAAUGCUGAGAUCAGAAGCCUGGAUCCUGCCCAGCCCCAUCCCCGAUGGUCUCAUGCCAACCGUCAGGACCCAACGUUAUCCAGAGACUGGGCUCUAACCACAGCCUGGACUCCUCUAACCCUGGGCCCAGCCACAACCACUCUAGGACUUCUGCUUUGGAAAACAGAAAGCUCAAGCCCCCGAAAAUAAAAGUCCUGGAAAUGUUCCCAGUUAGCAGACACUAGGUCUCCCCUAGUGACACAGAGAGAAGAGAAACAAACAGGCACUAGGAGGGAUUGAGGUGGUCCCUCUGUCCCCCACACACUCCUUCACCCACUGGGCAGCUGCAGCAAUGCUCUCUGUCUUGGUGAUGUCCAUGGUCACCGUCUCCAGCCUGUCUGAAGUCUGGCCCCUCAGCUGCUUGGUCCCCUUCUCUGUCCUACAUGCAGCUCCCGCAAGCCUGUGCAUUCAGUUGUCUGGCCAGUAGCUUCCUGAAGCGUGAGUCACAGCUCAUGAUGAACACGUACUUGUCUCUCAGGUGACUCACCACCUGCCUCUCCCAGUACCAGUGCAGAAGGUAGUAUAGGCCCAGGAGGACCGCCAGGUAGAGCCACAUGGCUUUGCAGAGGACAGACCCAGACGGGCUGGGGUGAAGUGAGAGUCUGGCCUCUGUUCAGACAGGAGGACUUAAGAACACAGAGGGCUGAGGUAGGCAGGGAAGCCCUCAGGCAUUUUGGCAGAAAGUCCUCACUUUCCUCUCUGAUCACUGUCUUUCUGCACCAUUUUUUAUCCUGGCUUCAUCUCUCUGCUCUUUCAACUGCCUUUGCAGGUGUUCAUGCAUGCAACUGCAAACCCCAAGCUCUGCCCAGUGAGUAGUUAUCACUACUCAGCAAUGCUUCCCUAGUCCACCAAUGCCUCUCUGCCUUGCUGUGCCUACUCAGGUGUCCACACAGGGGCCCACACACACACACCAUGAAACACACCACUCUGAUCUACAAACAAGGGUCAGAACUUGUCUCUACAUAUCUUGUGAUAUGGUUUGGAUAUUUGUGCCACCAAAAUUGCAUGUUGAAAUGCGUUCCCCAAUAUUGGAGGCAGGAGCUGGUGGGAGGUGUUGGGUCAUGGUAGUGGAUCCCUCAUGGCUUGGUGCUGUCCUGGAGACACUGGAAUGAGUUGUGAUGGGAUCUGGUUGUUUAAAAGUGUGGCACCUCCCCAGCUCUCUCUUUCUUGCUCCCACUUGCCAUGUGACAAAUCAGCUCCCCCUUUGACUUCUGCAGUGAUUAUAAGCUUCCUGAUGCCUCACCAGGAGCCAAGCAGAUGCAUGCUUGUACAGCCUGCAGAACCAUGAGCCAAUUAAACCUGUUUUCUUUAUAAAUUACCCAGUCUCAGGUAUUUAUUAUAGCAACACAAGAACGGCCUAACACACAUUGUAUACCAACACUCCUGGACCAUGGUCUCCCAGAAAACAGACUUU